rnacentral:rRNA from 1 species
UACGGAGGGUGCGAGCGUUGUUCGGAAUCACUGGGCGUAAAGCGCGUGUAGGCGGCCCAUUAAGUCUGAUGUGAAAGCCCGGGGCUCACCCCCCGGAAGUGCAUUGGAAACUGAUGGACUCGAGUCCCGGAGAGGAGAGUGGAAUUCCUGGUGUAGCGGUGAAAUGCGCAGAUAUCAGGAGGAACACCAAUGGCGAAGGCAGCACUCUGGGACGUGACUGACGGCUGAGACGCGAAAGCGUGGGGAGCAAACAGG